rnacentral:rRNA from 1 species
UACGAAGGGGGCUAGCGUUGCUCGGAAUCACUGGGCGUAAAGCGCACGUAGGCGGCCUCUUAAGUCGGUGGUGAAAUCCUGGAGCUCAACUCCAGAACUGCCUUCGAUACUGAGAGUCUCGAGUCCGAGAGAGGUGAGUGGAACUGCGAGUGUAGAGGUGAAAUUCGUAGAUAUUCGCAAGAACACCAGUGGCGAAGGCGGCUCACUGGCCCGGUACUGACGCUGAGGUGCGAAAGCGUGGGGAUCAAACAGG